GAAAGCCCGCCCCAUCACGUUAGACGCUAAUGGGAAAAGCUAUGUAGAUUCUUUUUCUCCGUGAGUGCAAAGAGGCAAACAGCAGUGUGAAGGAUUAAUUAUAGAAAUAUACACAAGUAUUUUCUUUCGUUGGAUUUAGGUUUUUUAUUAUGCUGGAAAACCGAACGUUUCAGUACAGAUGAUGAUCCAAGAUGGCGAGUCAACCCACGAGAUGAAUACAGAUGUGGAUCAGUUAAACUGAACCAGGAGCGUGGUUUUUAACUGUGAUCAGUCUGGAAUGAGCUGUAAAUCUCAGUCCUUCUCAUCUGAAACGCACGAUAAAACAUUUCCAGCGCUCUGAUCUUCAUACACAGCAGAAGAGCAGCUAUAAUGUCAGAAAAUGUGCUCAGAACACCUUACGAGAAACAAUCUGUUUUCUGGAAGUUUUCCAUGCUAAAAAUCUGUUUUAAUCUGCUAAUGUAAGUUUUAACCCAUCGCACACACCAGCACA
rnacentral:lncRNA from 1 species